rnacentral:rRNA from 1 species
AUUGUGGACUCGUAUGAAAGGCAAAAUGAGAGCCUGACUGUCUCUUACAACUAAUCAAUUAAACUGAUCCCCCAGUACAAAAGCUGGGAUAUCCCCAUAAGACCAGAAGACCCUGUGAAGCUUUAACUAACCUAUUAAACCCUAUAAUAAUUAAUUUCGGUUGGGGCGACCUUGGAACAAAAAAGAACUUCCAACACGUGACCUCCUCACAAAUAAGGCAAACAAGCCACAUUAGACCCAGAAUAUCUGAUUAAUGAACCAAGUUACUCCAGGGAUAACAGCGCUAUCUUCUUCAAGAGCCCAUAUCAAAAAGAAGGUUUACGACCUCGAUGUUGGAUCAGGACAUCCUAGUAAUGCAACCGUUACUGAGGGUUCGUUUGUUCAACGAUUAACAGUCCUA